rnacentral:lncRNA from 1 species
AUGACAUGCAGCCUGCUGCUGAUACACUGACGGAGCCUGACCCUUAUUGCAAGGCACACUUUGGAGACCUUUUUACAGACAUUGUCACUGAGAAAGUGGUGCUUUCAAAAAGAGAUAUCCUCCUUAUGGCAUUAAAGCAUGCCGUGAAGAAUAAUUUGACUCUCACAGGCCGAACUAGUUUAAUAGACCUCAUCAACGGAAUUUUUGACAAACUGUAUUGCCUCACUCACGGUAUCACCUACAUAAACUUCUUAACAAAACUGGCACCACUAUGACCUUUUUCUUUUUUUGUCCAAAAUGUUUUUCGCACAUUGGCAGUGUUCAGACAAAUUUCUACUUGAAAUGCUUGGAGCGCAAUCACACAACUUUUGUGUCUUCCCUCUCGGAUGCUCCCUUUUUUGUCACUCUUGAUGUUGAGUCACAACUUCAAAGGUUGCUAAAAAACUGUGAUCUCCUUGAUUUAACAAACCCACUUCCACCGAACAGGACACUUUCAGACAUCUGGGAUGGCAAAAUGUAUCGAACUUUUGUAGCCGUAACUCAACACUGUGGACCAAGAAUCAGUUUUUUAUUGAAUGCAGAUGGGACCCCACUUUUUAAAUCAAGUGGGACAUCAAUUUGGCCCAUUCAGCUAAUUGUAAAUGAGCUCCCUCCACAGCAAAGAAUGUCCAAACUGGUCCUGGCUCCAUUGUGGUUCUGGAAAGAAAAGCCGAACAUGGCACUUUUUCAAGGUACCUUUGUCGAAAAAAUGAACGAGCUGUGCGAGAAAGGCGUUGAAUUGCAACGUCAAGGAAAGGU